rnacentral:lncRNA from 1 species
AGUAUGACUGAGAAUACGUAGGAGCAAGGUCAAUCCUUGUCGGGCCCAAAAACCUAAAAAAUAUUUUUGUUUCUUUAUUUUAUUUUUCUUGGGAUAGUUAAAUAUUUUGCAAACCACAUUUUUAUUCGCGCAUUUAAUUAAAGGUACUGCCUUAGGGCAGGCGUUGUAGGGUGCUAACACCUUCCCUACACGUAACCGAUUUCCGAACCCAUCUCUGGUUUUCACAGAUCUUGUCUUAUCUUUUUAUGGUUUUUCCGUAGUUUUCCAGAAUAAACUAUG